AAAUGUUUGAUUAAAUGGAUGAAAAAGAGAAGUUUCUUCCCUGUAAUUAUCACUUUUUAAAAUCUGUAGCAACUUCAAGUCUGUCAGCGUGCUGAGGUCACAGAAACAAGAAAAGCAGCUUCAGACUUCAGAGUGUUGUUUACAGUUUUCUGUCAUCAUGAUCUCCCCUGAAGUUUAUCAAGCAAGCAGAGCAGCAGUUUGUGCUCACAGAUGGUGACGGUGUGGAGAGACGGUGGUGUUUCCUCAGAAGAACUAGCAGAGUCACAAAGGGCACGAGUCCUUCUCACCACCUUGACUUGUUGAUCAGUGGAUACACUUGUCUCCCCUUUAAAGGAGACACUCUUAGAGAGAGACGAUCCGAGUCAUCCUUAAAUAUGGGCAGGAUAUCACUAUUGGACUGUCUAACCUGCAGGAGCAGCACUGAAUAACCACUACACAUGAGCAUGUUCCUGCAACAUUCAGCAGCUCUGCUUUUGUGUCAAAUGUCUAACAGCUGGAGAGGAAACUACACCAGUGUACUGGGAUGUUUCAGCAACACGUGCCAGACGCUGUUCCUUCAUGGUGACAUCACCAGAGACAGCCCCGCCCACCUCAGGACCUCGCCAUUGAUCAUGAUGAUUAUAAUGAUGACAGCGAGCAGAACUAAGACUGUAAAAAUCAGAAUAUUUAGAUGCUUUCUAAUUAUUAAUGAAUACUGAGAGCCUCUUUCUGUGUUUUGUCUGUUUUUUUUUUUUUUUACCUCAUUUGUUACUAACAAAGUUCACCAAACUCACACAGUUUACAUUCUGUAUGUUUCCAUCUUUACCAGCCACACUCUACCUGCAAUUAAGCAAAUAAUCCUUAGAAAUCCUCGUUUUUCUCUUUUGUAAUUGAUGAUAAUUCAGUGAAUAUACUGCGCUGCUUCCUUUUAUUGCGUCACACAUUGCUUUAAGUUUUUCCAGUGUCCAGUUAUUUUUUACUGCUGUUUGAAUUCUCUGCAUGUUUGACCCUGUAGACUGUUUGAUGGACUGCUUGUCUUCCUGUUUGUAACCGCCGCCUGUUUUUGACUAAAGAUUUGGAUUUCUGACUUU